AUACUGUUAGGCUUGAAUUAUUAGGAAGUAACUAGACUACGUAGCGUAGCGGUGAAAUGCUUAGAGAUUACAUGGAAUACCAUAUGCGAAGGCAUGUGCCUACUAAUGGAUCGACCAUGAGCGUCGAAACAGGUCGUAGCGAACACGAUUAGAUACCGUGGUAGUCCACACAGUAACGCAUGGAUACUAGCUGUUGGGAGCAAUAUCAGUGCCUAAGCGAAAGUAAUAAGUCUCCCACAAGGGGAGUUCGUUCGCGAGAACGAAACUCAAAGGAAUUGUCGGGGACCCGCACAAGCGGUGGAGCAUGUGGCUUAAUUUGAUGAUACGCGAGGAACCUUACCAAGGCUUAAAUGUAGAUUCACCGUUUUGGAAACAGAACUUUCGCAAGGCAAUUUCCAAGGUUCUGCAUGGUAGUGGUCAGCUCGUGCCGCGAGGUGUCAGGUUAAGUCCUAUAACGAGCGCAACCCCUGUUGUUAGCAGCCAGCGAGUCAUGUCGGGAACUCUAACAAGAUUCCCAGUGCAAACUGUGGGGAAGGUGGGGAUGACGUCAAAUCAUCACGGCCCUUACGCCUUGGGCUACACCCGUGCUACAAUGGACGGUACAGAGAGCAGCCACUGGGCGACCAGGAGAGAAUCUACAAAACCGUUCUCAGUUCGGAUCGGAGUCUGCAACUCGACUCCCAGCAGCAGGAAUCGCUAGUAAUCGGACAUCAGCCAUGAUCCGGAGAAUACGUUCCCGGGCCUGGUACACACCGCCCGUCAACCCAUGGACGCUGGGGGUGCCUGAAGUCGGCCUUUGCACGGAGCUGCGUAGGGCAAAACUGGUAAGUAUAAUUAAGUCGUAACAAGGUA
rnacentral:rRNA from 1 species